rnacentral:lncRNA from 1 species
GGGCGUCGCUGGAGGCCCCGGGCUGAGGGGCGUCGCUAGAGGCUCCUGACUGGGGAGCGUCGCUGAAGGCUCCGGGCUGAGGAGCGUCGCUGGAGGCUCCUGACUGGGGAGCGUCGCUGGAGGCUCCGGGCUGAGGAGCGUCACUGGAGGCCUCCUGCGUGGAGCUGGGACCGGUCUCCCCGGACUGGGGAGACUUACAGGAGACUGGGUGCGCAGCGCAGGCACGGGGCACAUUGGGCCGUGGAGGUGAACCGGCGGUCUGGAGCUCAGGGCUGGCACACCCCGUCCUGGCUGAAUGGUCACUGUAGCCCGGCACGGGCGGAGCGCUGGCACAGGGCGAACUGGGCUGUGCUGGAGAGUGAGGGCUGCCGUGCGUAGAGCAGGCGCAGGGUAAGCUGGACCGAGGAGACGUACUGGUGGCCAGAUGCGCUGCGCCGGCGCACUUCUCCCUGGCUGCCGGCCAACUCUCGCCCGGCAACGCUGCGGAGCCCACACUGACCGCACCGGACUGUGCGUGCGUGUGGGCGAUACCAUGCGCAUUUCCGCAUAGCUCGGCGCUCUCCUCGUCACCCGCUCCCCACGGUAAGCACGGGGAGUUGGCUCAGGACUCCACCCUGACUCUGCCCAACUCCCCGUGUUGGGCAGAGUGCCUCUCGCACUUGCCUCUUGGCUUAUACAGCGCCUCAUAGUAGCGCCGCUCUGCCUUCGCUGCCUCCAGUUCCUCCUUCGGUCGACGAUACUCUCCAGCCUGCCUCCAGGGUCCUUUCCCGUCUAAAAUCUCCUCCCAUGUCCACGACUCCAAAUACUUCUCCUGCUCCUUACCCCGCUGUUUGGUCUUCUUUCGGUGGGUGGUUCUGUCAUAUAAUAAAAAGGGAAUUAUUUGUAUGCUUACUCAGCUGUGCUUCACAAGUAAUACAACAACGGAUCUAUUACCGGUGUGAUCAUAUAGCCAGGUUUUCUCCAGAUGUUACGCUUGGUAUUCAGGCCAAAGAGUUCCAUCUUCAUUUCAUCAGACCAGAGAAUGGUCUGAGAGUCCUUUAGGUGCCUUUUGGCUAACUCCAAGCGGGCUGUCAAGUGCCUUUUACUGAGGAGUGGCUUCCUUCUGGCCACUCUACCAUACAGGCCUGAUUGGUGGAGUGCUGCAAAGGUGGUUGUCUUACUGGAAGGUUCUCCCAUCCCCACAGAGGAACACUGGAGCUCUGUCAGAGUGACCAUCGGGUUCUUGGUCACCUCCAUGAUCAAGGCCCUUCUACCCCGAUUGCUCAGUUUUGCUGGCAGUCAGCUCUGGGAAGAGUCUUGGUGGUUCCAAACUUCUUCCAUUUAAGCAUGAUGGAAGCCACUGUGUUCUUGGGAACCUUCAAUACUUCAGAAAUGUUUUGCUAAACUUCCCCAGAUCUGUGCCUCGACACAAUCCAGUCUCGGAGCUCUACGGACAAUUUCCUCGACCUCAUGGCUUGGUUUUUGCCCUGACAAGCACCUUCAACUGUGUGACAUUCUAUAGACAGGUUUGUGCCUUUCCAAAUAAUGUCCAAUAAAUUGAAUUUAUCCCAGGUGGACUCCAAUCAAGUUCUCAAAACACCUCAAUGAUGAUCAAUGGACCUGAAUACUUGUGUAAAUUAGGUAUCUGUUUUUUAUUUUUAAUACAUUUGCAAACAUUCUAAAAACCUAUUUUUGCUUUGUCAUUAUGGGUAUUGUGUGUAGAUUGAUGAGGAUUUUUUAUUUAUUUAAUCCAUUUUAGAAUAAGGCUGUAAUGUAACAAAAAUGUGUAAAAAGGGAAGGGGUCUGAAUACUUUCCAAAUGCACUGUAUAUCCUAUAAUUAAUUACAUUGUUUCCAAUUGGCCUAGUUAUCUCUCUCUCAUGUCAUUCAUGAGGUAAUCUCAGUGUAAACUAGUAUGUCAUGUCUACCCAUUUUGUAGAAUAAUUGAUGACAUCUUGACAUCUUUAUGAAUUCAUGAAUUUAUGCUGUACCCCUUAGGGCAGGGAUCAUCAACUAGAUUCAGCCGCGGGCCGAUCUUUUCUUGAGAGGAAGGUCGGGGGGCCGGAUCAUAAUUACAAAUCAUUUGUAGCCUGCAAAUUGAAUGCAAGAAGCACAAACAGAUAUAAUAUUUGACUAAAACGUAAUAAUUUGAAACCUUUGCAUAUGAUCACGUGUCUCUAUUAUAGGUGGAAAUACUUGGGAACAGAUUUCCCAAAUUAAAAUCACUUGGAGCUGAUUUCCUGUUUUUUUUACAGUUUAUGUGCAACAAUGGGAAAAAAUGUAUUUUUUUAUGGCUCAGAAAACUUGGGGGCGCAAAUAAAACAACCAGUUGGGGAACCCUGCCUUAGGAGGUUUUCUGAUCAGCUUACACCGCGUAAUUUUUAAGAGACAAAUGCCUGCUGUAGUUGAAAGAGGAAACUGAAGGUAUUUCAGGAUGUGAAAGGUUAUAGCUGACUGAGCACUCAGUGAGGUCUCACGUAAUGACUCAGGUCAUUUACCCUGUUCUAACUUUUUUUACCUUUAACUAGGUAAGUCAGUUAAGAACAAAUUCUUAUUUACAACGACGGCCUACCUUAAUGGACAGACAGACAACAAUUUUCUUUUCUCAAGUGUAUUUUCAAGUUUGUUGCAAUUUUUUGUGCAUUUAAACAAAUACAUUGAAAAACAAGCAUCUUGAAAACUGCUCUAGUCUGCCUCUAGUCAUUUCCCUCAUACAUUAAUGGAUGGCCUUGAGAUAUUCCUGCAUUAGCAGGAACUUGCAUUAGCAGGCACUUACAAAUCUACAUUUUGCUUUGUGUAUAUUCAGCAAACAUUUUGUAACAUUUUGUAACACCCACCAAAUCCUGUUCAACAUUCACUCCCUCAAAUUUCCCACCCCAAAAUACUUUCAGUUUCUCCUCUUUCUUCCUGAGAACAAUAUCUUUAAAUACAUCAAAAACUUUGAUACAGUUUUUUACUUGGACAACAUUGCAGUUGGCCAAGCCUAUAAUCUACUGUAAAACACAAUGACAGCACAUUGGGCUGUGGUCUGUCUACAAUAUCUGGAUCAUCUAAAGGAAAAUAAAAAGCAUGGAGUACUACAUAAGGCAUCGCCUGGAAUAAUGUCCUAUCACUGAAGCCAUGACCCAAUGGAGAUCCUUGCUAUUUCUGGUCUCAGAAGAAGAGGUGACAGAAUGCUGGAAUGUGACCUACAGCUUCCUGAGGAGUGUGGACUGGGACUCUGCCAAUGCAGAGGGGAGAGAAAUGCUUCCCACUAGGCUGUCAAAUGUCCCUGGUGGUGUGACUAAUGUUAAGGUGUCUGUAUGAAGAGAUGCAUACUUCCUCCUGGGUUGUGAUUAAAGUAUGGGACUCGUGUUAAUGAGUGUUAGCGCUGUGACCAUUUUUUCUUUGUCUGAAGAAAGACAAUUCCCCUGUGCAACGCUCAAGAGACAUCUCUAGUUACGGUACCACCAUGGCAGUCAGGCCUAUUCUAUAUGUCAGUGGGUCAUCAUAACUAAUUAUCUGAAUACAGUGCAAUUGAGCGGACACCAUGACAAUCCAAACUCAAACCAUAUCCGUUCCAGAGCCACAACUCAUCACCAUCUUCCCUGUCUAUCUACUCUGACCUACCAGUCCGCACCUUCCCUGAGGUGCGUUGGAAAGGUGCAUCUUUGCUAUGGGUGUAUGCCGUGCGCCUACAGGGCUCUACUAUGGAGGCCUGUGUCUCUCUCACGUCAGGGCUAGGCACGGAGCAGAGGAGUCAUUUCCAUUUCCUCCCACUUGGCUAAUUACAGUCUGCCUGCUCUGCCAGCCAUUCUUCUUCCCUCUCAUGUCAUAACAGAAACCUGUGCAGUGGAAAACCCCUGAUUACCCUGCAUAGAUUAGAUAGAGGCGUUAAUACAGUAAGUCAAGCCUCGCAGGGUGGUAUAUGUUUUAACAGAGGGAGAAGCGUCGGGAGUUGAUGUUCAUCUUGGUGAGGCCAAGGUGUUUGAGGGGGGUGGAGAGGGCGAAGGCAGCCUUCAUGGGGAUGUCACAGAGCAGGUCAGACUCCUCGCCACACUCCUCCAGCUCGUAGGUGGCGUCGUCCAGCAUCUCCUUGUGGCGGUGACACACCUGCUCCACCUUCAGCCGGUGGAUCUCCACACGCAGGCGGAUCAGCUGGCGCGCUAGACGGUUAUCCUGGAACCGCAUCUCCCUC